AGUACGUGCAAUAUUUGUGGUAUGGCAGACGAGAACAGUUUUCAUGCUGUGGUGGAAUGUACCAAAGCCCAUGCCUUAAGAGAUCAGUUGCGAGGGGUGUGGGAUCUUCCUGGGGAAAGGGUUUUUAUUUACAAUGGGCCUGACUGGCUUCUAAUCCUCCUUGCAAAAAUCAAACCAAGGCAGCGUGAUUUGGUGCUUCUUGUGUUCUGGCGUGCUUGGUUCCUCCGAAAUGAUGUGGUCCACAACCAAGGGAAGAUCUCC
rnacentral:rRNA from 1 species